rnacentral:rRNA from 1 species
UACGAAGGGGGCAAGCGUUGUUCGGAAUUACUGGGCGUAAAGGGCGCGUAGGCGGCUUAUCAAGUCAGGCGUGAAAUUCCCGGGCUCAACCUGGGGGCUGCGCUUGAUACUGAUUGGCUUGAAUGCGGGAGAGGAUAGUGGAAUUCCCGGUGUAGCGGUGAAAUGCGCAGAUAUCGGGAAGAACACCCGUGGCUAAGGCGGCUCUCUAGUACGGUACUGACGCUGAGACGCGAAAGCGUGGGGAGCGAACAGG